GAGUUAGCCAGACGGUCGCGGGGGUAAUAACCCACGAGGAAAGUCCGAGCAUCACAGAACAGGGUGCUAGUUAACUGCUAGUGAAGGCGACUUUAAGGAAAGUGCAACAGAAAACAAACCGCCGAAUUUGUUUAUCAAAUGGCAAGGUUGAAAUGGCGAGUGUAAGAGACCACCGCUUGCUUGGUGACAAGCAGGGCAUUGUAAACCCCACCUGAUGUAAGGUAAAAAUGGCGCUAAACGGCUGUUCGUCAAGCCAUAUACACCGCUCGAGCAUAUUGGGAACAGUAUGCCUAGAUAGAUGACCGUUUAAUACAGAACUCGGCUUACAGACUGACUCAU
rnacentral:RNase_P_RNA from 1 species